UACAGAGGGUGCGAGCGUUGUCCGGAAUCACUGGGCGUAAAGGGCGCGUAGGCGGUCUGCUAAGCGUGUGGUGAAAGCUCGGGGCUCAACCCCGAGUCGGCCGUGCGAACUGGUGGACUGGAGCAUGUCAGAGGCAGGCGGAAUUCCGGGUGUAGCGGUGGAAUGCGUAGAGAUCCGGAAGAACACCGGUGGCGAAGGCGGCCUGCUGGGACAUUGCUGACGCUGAGGCGCGAAAGCGUGGGGAGCAAAAGGG
rnacentral:rRNA from 1 species